rnacentral:rRNA from 1 species
CUGCUGCCUCCCGUAGGAGUCUGGGCCGUAUCUCAGUCCCAAUGUGGCCGUUCAACCUCUCAGUUCGGCUACUGAUCGUCGCCUUGGUAGGCCGUUACCCCACCAACUAGCUAAUCAGACGCAAGCCCAUCUAUCAGCGGAUUGCUCCUUUUCUAGCUAUAUCAUGCGAUAUUACUAGCUUAUGCGGUAUUAGCAAUGAUUUCUCACUGUUAUUCCCCUCUGAUAGGCAGGUUG